rnacentral:rRNA from 1 species
GUGGGGAAUAUUGGGCAAUGGGCGCAAGCCUGACCCAGCAACGCCGCGUGAGGGAAGAAGGUCUUCGGAUUGUAAACCUCUGUCCUUGGUGAAAAGUAAGAGAUGGUAGCCAAGGAGGAAGCUCCGGCUAACUACGUGCCAGCAGCCGCGGUAAUACGUAGGGAGCGAGCGUUGUCCGGAAUGAUUGGGCGUAAAGGGCGUGUAGGCGGCCGUUUAAGUCUGGAGUGAAAUGCCUGUUUGUAAGGUAGGAACUGCUUAGGAAACUGGACGGCUGGCGUGCAGGAGAGGUUAUGGGAAUUCCCGGUGUAGCGGGUAAAUGCGUAUAGAUCGGGGGGAACACCAGUGGCGAAGGCGGGUAACUGGACUGCAACUGACGCUGAGGCGCGAAAGUGUGGGGAGCAAACAGGAUUAGAAACCCGAGUAGUCC